rnacentral:rRNA from 1 species
GACGAACGCUGGCGGCGUGCUUAACACAUGCAAGUCGAACGGAAAGGCCCGGCUUUGGUGGGGUGCUCGAGGGGCGAACGGGUGAGUAACACGUGAGUAACCUGCACUUGACUGUGGGGUAACUUCAGGAAACUGGGGGUAAUACCGGAUAGGAGCUCCUGCUGCAUGGUGGGGGUGGGAAAGUUUCGGCGGUUGGGGAUGGACUCGCGCCUUAUCAGCUUGUUGGUGGGGUAGUGGCUUAGCAAGGCUUUGACGGGUAGCCGGCCUGGGAGGGUGACCGGCCACAUUGGGCCUGAGAUACGGCCCAGCCUCCUACGGGAGGCAGCAGUGGGGAAUAUUGCACUAUGGGCGGAAGCCUGAUGCAGCACCGCAGCGUGCGGGAUGAGGGCCUUCGGGUUGUAUUCCGCUUUCGCCUGUGCCGAAGCGUGAGUGACGGUACUGGGUAAAGAAGCACCGGCUAACUACGUG